UGCAUUGAUGAAGAACGCAGCGAAAUGCGAUACUUGGUGUGAAUUGCAGAAUCCCGUGAACCAUCGAGUCUUUGAACGCAAGUUGCGCCCGAAGCCUUGGCCGAGGGCACGCCUGCCUGGGU
rnacentral:rRNA from 1 species